rnacentral:misc_RNA from 1 species
UAAUUGCGCGUCAACAUGUGAACUGCAGGAUACAUGAACAUUGACAUUUCGAACGCAUAUUGCGGUCCUCGGAUACUGUUCCCGGACCACGCCUGGCUGAGGGUCGUAUAUAUUACCAGACUGCUGCUUGCUUUUGUGCUUGUCAGCGAAUGAUGGGAUUUCGCGUAACUGCGUGUCCUUAAAUUAUAUCAUGGCGUUGGCGUCAGUCCCGAUUGCUACUAUGGCGUAUUCGCAUUCGCGGUCAGUACGUUUGGGAUUAGGGCGAGCUGUGUGUCCUAGAUUGAAUUCUUCGACCCGCUCGACAACCCGAAACCCGUCUGCUCGAUUGUGUUUCGUUUGCUUUCGGUGCGAUUAAGAGACAAACUCGUCUAAUUUGUGUUCGCGCUCAAAUGGUGUACUCUAGCAGUAUAUCGAGCGCGUUCAAAUCCAAAACGCGACCUCAGAGCAGGUGAGAUUACCCGCUGAAUUUAAGCAUAUUACUA